AACGCACAUUGCGCCCGCCAGUAUUCUGGCGGGCAUGCCUGUCCGAGCGUCAUUUCAACCAUCAAGCCCGCGGCUUGUGUUGGGGAACUGCGGGCUGCCCGCAGGCCCCGAAAUGCAGUGGCGGGCCCGCCGUCACACCGAGCGUAGUAGAACAAGCCUCGCUCAGGGCGUGCCGCGGGUCCCGGCCGUAAAACAGCCUCUCAGCGCUAGGUUGACCUCGGAUCAGGUAGGAGGACCCGCUGAACUUAA
rnacentral:misc_RNA from 1 species